CAUUCUUAAAAGUUUCUUAUCUUUGGGCUAAGUUCCUCUGGAUGGAAUUAGGUCAUGAAAUCUGGCCUAUCCUUCAAGAAGAUAUCAUCUCAUUAAUGAUCAUCUUUGUAUCCAGUCAUUCAACCAGUUCCUGAGCCCAUGUAACUGUACUGUUAUCCACCCAACAUCUUUCCAGGUUGUCCACAUAAGAGGUAUAUUUAGGCUGCUAGGUGAGCCCAAGCAUGAUGGACUUUGGCAAUCUGCAUGUCUUUGGAAUCAGACUUCUCUUACCUGUACUACAGUUUUCUCAGCGAUUCCGUGAUCAAAGGGCAUCAGUGAUUUCUGGCUAACGUCAUUUGCCAUCAGCUCCUCUACUCGGUUUUGACUCCACGAACAUCAUGCCACCAAACCAGGUACCAAGGAUUAUCCUUUGAUGGAACACUUGGCCAUCCUGCAUUGCAUUGAUGAGAAAAGCAAAAUGGCUUAUGUACAUAUGCUCAUUGCAGAGGAUCUGGAAGUUUAUAAACAAUAUACUUUGGUAAAAUAUGACAUUAGUGCAAAUGUGAGCAUAGGUAAAGAUGACCAAAAAAAAAAAACCAAACCACAUUGGAAAGUAUGUCUGAGGGUCCAGAAAUGAAAGAGGUCUAAAAGUUUGUGGACUAUACAGAAGACUUAAUAUCAUAAAUAUUUUCUUCAACAAAAGAGUGGGAUGUAGUAAAUAUGGCAAACAAAGAUUAACAUCAUAAAAUGAAAUUUACUGUAUCUUAACAGUCAGGAAAAUAAUUAGUUAUCAAAUGUGGGAGUUUUUAUACAGACCAUCAACUUGUUAGAGCAAAGAACAAAAUCAAUACCAAAUAAUAGCAAUAAAAAUAAGAUAUGGCACGCAA